rnacentral:rRNA from 1 species
UGGGGAAUAUUGGACAAUGGGCGAAAGCCUGAUCCAGCAAUACCGCGUGUGUGAAGAAGGCCUGAGGGUUGUAAAGCACUUUCAAUUGUGAAGAAAAAUUUAAGGUUAAUAACCUUAAAUUUUGACGUUAACUUUAGAAGAAGCACCGGCUAACUCCGUGCCAGCAGCCGCGGUAAUACGGAGGGUGCAAGCGUUAAUCGGAAUUACUGGGCGUAAAGCGCGCGUAGGUGGCCUUUUAAGUCAGAUGUGAAAGCCCCGGGCUUAACCUGGGAACUGCAUUUGAUACUGGGAGGCUAGAGUAUAGUAGAGGCAAGUGGAAUUUCCUGUGUAGCGGUGAAAUGCGUAGAUAUAGGAAGGAACACCAGUGGCGAAGGCGGCUUGCUGG